CCCGGCGGCGGGCGGGCGGCGCGCAGGCGCGGCGCGGCUGUGGUAGCGCUGAGGGAAGCGGGGCGGCGGACGGCGCUGGGCUGCCCGCGUCAACCCCUGCGCGAGCUCCCGAGAGGUGGUGGGGAGCGGCUUGUGGCCGAUGUUGGUGGUCGGUAGGCGGCCGCUCAGGUCCGGGCGUGCCCGCCCGCCCCUCGCUGCUCCCGGGCGGCGGGUAACGAGCCGGCACGAGGAGCUGCUGAGAUAGGAGUUAGCGUUGGUGGUUAUAGCGAAGCCGGAAUAACCUUGUCGAGCUCUUGUUUUCAGAGACUCCUUCUAAGCCUUGCGUGUACAAGGAAGCGGAGUAUCUCUGCUACCCUUAGCGUUUAUAACCCCCGACCUCCCUUCCCGCCGCCCCCACCUCGGGUGCGCGCUCGCGCCCCUUCCCGCCCCUCACGUGCGCGAGGGUCACGAGCCGGCGCGAGCGGCUCCCGAGGGGAGUUUUAAAUUGCUGCUUAUAGGGAAGCCGGAUAAAAACCUUACUGGAUUUGUUUUUGGGGGAAGAAAAAAAGAAAAAUCCACCCCUGAACCUUGGGCGUACAAGGGACCCGAAUAUCUGUACUCUCGUUACCGCAUUUAUAACUCCUCCGCGCGCCUCCCUCGGGCGCGCGCUUGCGCCCCUUCCCGCCCCUCAGGUGCGCGAGGGUCACGAGCCGGCGCGAGCGGCUCCUGAGGGAAGGUGGGGGCAGGUGCUGACCGCCUUCAUUUUAACCUCUUUUCCAGGUGUGUUUCUGCGACGGUUUUAAUAAAAACAGCCAGGUAGCGCUUUCUGCCCUUCCCCUCCUGGUUCUGCCUGCUGUGUCGCUCCCCGGGGUACCUGAAGUGAAGAUAAAGGAGGGCGGGGAUUGUGGAGUUUUCCCGGAGUUUUGGGGUUUGUUGGUGGGUUUGGAAAGUGAGUUAUGUACAGCGCAAUGGGGUGGUGAGAGGGAAGAAAAUCCACAUAGGAACAGCAAAACUUGGGGAAAAAAAAUUCUCUUAGAAUACUUCAGGGCAAUGCCCCCAUCAGCACACAGGUGUAAGCUAUUAUUUGGGUAAUAAGCACUUAAUUACUUACCUACUGCAAAUGGAAAAUAAUCCAAAAACUGUUGGCGUUUGUAAUUGCAAUAGAAGAAUGAAAAACGAAAUUAUGAGGGGGGUGUUUGUUGUUCUUAGUGUUAGCGUAGCUCCUAUAAAGCGUUGGCUCUGGUUCGUGUACAAAUCAGAAUUCCUGACCUGCAGGUACUCUCAGGAGUUUCUAGACUGCAGCAAAAUGCAGAUGACUUGACAAUGGAAAUUCUUGUUGCCUCCGAAAGUAACAUUUUAUGAGCUACAGUUUUAUCAGUGCUGCAUGCUCUUACUUCAGCACAUUAUCCAUCUUAUGUGGAGCUGCAGGUAAAUCACACUCUAACCUAGGGGAAAAAAAUUAAGAGGCAAAUUGUUAUAAGAUGAAAUUUUGUUCUCCUAUUUUUGUCAAAAUAAUUUUUUUAUUUAGUGUUGAAUGUUGCAGUAAAUUGCGGAGAAGGUAAGUAAUUGACCAAACACUGAAAAUACAUCCUGUUUAGAAACAUGAUAAAAAAAGAGAAAAUUAUUCUAUACUUAAGGAUCUGAUAUUUUUUCUACUGAUCUCAUCUUUAUGUAGAUUCAUAACCAGUGGAAAGAAAGUGUUGAAACAACUCAAAUAAAGUUAUAUAUAGGAGUAUUAAUAAGGUACUGCUCUUUAUUUUACUCUCAGUUAAAUUCUGGAUGUUUGCCUUAACUGGUGUGAAAACCAAAAAGGUGAGUGUUGUAACUGAGAGCACUGGAAGAAAUGAUCGUUCUGAUGCUGUGCAUUUACAUUGUGGGCUUUUAAUAUUCAGUUGAGAUUGUCUUGCUUGAUGGCUGCUUUGGUGAACUGUCCCUGGGAAAGGUCAUACAACCACAGAAUGGUCUGGAUUGAAAGGGGACUUAAAGCCAUGGGCAGGGACACCUUCCACCAUCCCGGCUGCUCCAAGCCCCCAUCCAGCCUUGCCUUGGACACUUCAGGGCUCGCAUGUGUUCAGUGUUUUUCCAAUAAAAACUUGAAAAUUUCACGUCUUGAAAAUUUCACAAGGAUGAAAGAGCAAGGGACAGGCAGAAUGUGUGCUGGAAAGCGAAAUAAAUCCCAUGGACUUGUCUGCAAGGAUGUACAGCUGUCACAUUCAGUAUGACAGUGGUGACACUCAGGUGUUAGGGCAAGGUGUGGCAAACAGGAACACAUUCAGCACAGUCUGGUGUUUAAUUGAAAAACCUCCAUUUAAUGCAGCCUGGGUUUGGACUGAAUAAACAAGCCAAUGUUACAGACAUUUAAAUGGACGUCGUGCCAGAAGGACACGUGGUGUGGCAUUAAACUCCAAAGCAGGUGGUACAGUAAGUUGCUGAAUUGAGUGUAAAAUGAAGCAUAUAUUACUGUGUGACCUCAUUAUAAUGAGGGUCUGAAGUGUUAACAAAACAAGAAAAUAAUUGUUUUUAAUUGUAAAAGGUACUUUGCUAUAGCAGCUUCAUGUUUAACAAUUCGUGCUUUUAAAUAAUAGACUGAAAUCAAAGAUCA